UUGGAUGGCCAAUGUUUUGAUGUACCAAAUACAAAACACAAUAUAUCCAAUUAUUUGAGUUAAGUAAAGAUGAUAAGAACAACAUUUACACAUUUUUAUUGGUUUGAGAGAUCUGCUUCAGUUCCAUAAUGAGAGUGUAAAAGUGUAUCUAAACUGAUAAGUAAUACAAUAAAUGAACAAAGGAAAUUGGUGAUAAAUAAGAAUAUAAGAUAAAGCAAACAUAUAUGAGAUAUUAGCCGCAUGAUAUCCUCAAAGUGCAUGUGUUUCAUCUUUUUUUUUACGGGAAAGUGCAUGUGCUUCAUUUGUUGCACCCUGGCCUAGCCGCCCAAUGGGACCUCCUAUACCGUACGCUUCCCGCUGGGAGGAAACGCAACGCGCACCCCUCGCUCCCCUAGCGCAUCCUCUUGAGACGGCACCUUUUUCAUAUUUCGUUUUUUAUUUUUAUUUUUUUCUACUUUAAAUAAUUUGGCUAUUCUAAAAACUUCCAACAUUUAAAGAAUUGGG
rnacentral:lncRNA from 1 species